rnacentral:rRNA from 1 species
UACGUAGGGGGCGAGCGUUGUCCGGAAUUAUUGGGCGUAAAGGGCGCGUAGGCGGCAUGAUGUGUCAUGUGUGAAAACCAUAGGCUCAACCUGUGGAUUGCAUAUGAAACUGUCGUGCUUGAGUGCAGGAGAGGAAAGCGGAAUUCCCAGUGUAGCGGUGAAAUGCGUAGAUAUUGGGAGGAACACCAGUGGCGAAGGCGGCUUUCUGGACUGUAACUGACGCUGAGGCGCGAGAGCGUGGGGAGCAAACAGG